CUGAGUGCCUUCUCCUCCUCCUCCUUCAACCGCGCCGCCUCCACCCUCAUCUUCAACUUGCGGUACUGGCGGCGGGCAAUGAGGCCUCGCACAUGGGCCUGGAUCUUGGUGACGGCCCACAUCUUAUUAUGGAAGUCUCGCCUCACCAGUGCCUAGAGAAGCUCAUAGAAUAGAGAAGCCACUCCACCUGCAAUGAGAUGAUGUGUCCUCGGAGGUGCUUGAAGCGGUGAGACACGACCCUUGAGCGGAUGAGCGCCUGGAGCCUCAUGUAGCCGACCCGCAUGUUCUGGUAGCGCCUCUUCUGGGCGUGGGCGCGGUAGUGCUUCUGGAUGAUGAUGGCGCUCUCCCUCAUCUUCUGGAACCUGUGAAUAAGAGGAGUUAGACCUUGGGGGAAACUUCUUAUGGGUGUGAUACAACGGAAGUGGUCGUUCUUACCUCCUGCGGUAGUACCAGCCCCUCACGCAGCGCUGGAGGAUGGUAAUCUUCCUGGUGAGGACUCGGUCACGCUCCUGCUCCAAGAACA